GUGAAUACUUUCCGGAUGCAAUGUAUAUCUAAUGGAAAACUCAUUUCUCUAUUCAGCAGACAGCGCAAGUUCCUGCAGCAGACCCAGCAUUGCCAGACGGCCAGCCUCCAGCCUCUUCUGUGUCAGGCCCUUGUUAUCGGCAGACUCCAGACCAAACACUGGCCUCAGACCCAUGUCAGCAACCAGAGUUCUCUCCCCUCCUGAAUCCAGACCUGGUUCAGCAGAGUCUGAUCUAGCAGUAGUAGAAUCAGAAACCAGUGCUCUGACUCACGGAGCUGGUAAGAUUCUGUUCUGUGGAAACCCAGUCCAGGCUAUUCGAGCAAGGCGAGAAAAGUUAAGGACAGCACCCUCAAAAUCUACUUUCAACCCAUGCGAACGACCCAUUCAUGUACCAGAGCACCCCUAUGACCUCGAAGAGCCUGAUCUUGGAGAUCGUGUCGACGUGUUUGCUGAACUCAGAGCUUGGAGGGAGCAGCACAGCAAGUAAAAAAUGCUGAACAUAAACCUCAAACUGCAAACACACAAAAUUGUAUGAAGACUUUUUAGAUGAAUGAAUAUCUUACAACAUUCUUUUUUCAGGCAUCUUGAAGCCAUAGAGAGGGAAAGAUUACCACAAGUCCUGACUAUUCAGCACAGUGAUGAAGAAGACGUGGAUGAGGAAGAAGAGGAAGGUUUCGGCAUUAUGAGGAGUGGCGGCAGUGAUGAUGAUAAUGAGGAGGAAGAGCACAAGGAAGAGAAACAAUGUGACAGCAUAGAUACUUCUUCGCCAGAUUCCUGUUUCCAUUCGCU
ensembl:lncRNA